rnacentral:lncRNA from 1 species
AUCUCUCUUUCCUUGUUAUUCUUGACCUACAAGGCAAUAGUUUCCAUGGUGAGUUUCCACAAGAGUUACUUCAUCUGCAGAGACUGAAGAGAUUAGACUUGAGCUACAAUGAUUUUGUUGGAGAAAUUCCUCAAUCUCCAACUUGUCAAUGUUAGAGUACCUAGAUUUAAGAUCAAAUCUCAUCAAAGGAUUCAUACCAACAACAAUUUCCAACAUGUCUACACUUGAAGAAAUCCAUUUAGCUAGAAACUCCUUAUCAGGUAUUUAUACUCACACCAUUACACAACAUCUUAAUUACAUGCAUGUGAAUAUAUAGCUGAGUUUGACUAACUUUGCUUGUUAAUUUAGGUUUUACACGUAUGCAUAUGAAUAUAUGAUACUCUAGGGCAGCAUUUCGUUAGCUUAACUCAGUUGGUAGGAACAAAUGCAUAAUAUAUGCAAGGUUAGGGGUUCAAACCUCGAUCACCACCAAAAAAAUUAAUCACCAUUUUACGAUCAUCAUUUAAGGUUAAAUUCUUACCACACUAACCUAACAUCAUAUACAAGAAUUAAUCUAUCUCACUUACUAUAAAAUUAUUUGAUAAAACUUUCCUCAACUCCCAACAUGACUUUAGAUAUUUCCUCAAGAAAGAAACAUAACUUUAGCGUUUACAUAUAUACAUAUGUAAAAAAAUUGUGCUAUAUCUAGAGGUGUAUUUCUUUACAAAGUAGGCAGAAAGUGUGAUUUUUUAGAAUAUAAGGAUGAAAAGAAACACAUAAAAUAUAAAUAGGAUUAUUG